GGGUGAAAUCUCUGGUGGGGAACUUUCCAUACUGGUCUUGAUGGAGGUCGUUUAGUAAUUAGAAAUGGCAGAAUAUUAAUGUAUUUGAGGAGAGGCUGUCCCUCUGCAAUAACACAGCUAGGAAAGUACUUUAGAUCAUUUCUGGGCAACAUUACAGACCAGAGUAAAUUAGGUUGGUCCCCACUGUGACCUUCCAACCGCACUCCCUCCUCCCAUGACCACAGUAUGUUUUUUAAUAGGUCUGCCUAUUAUACCCAGUGGCAUUUUUGUUUCCACUCAUCCUCGCUGUGUGAUUUUAUAUUCUGAGGAUGUUGCAGGACUUAUGGCCGCGUGAGAAUGAGAUUCCCCUCAUGGGAUCUGGGGGAUAUUUCUCUGGUGUGGCAUUCAUUGGGAUCGGAGAAGUCGAAAUGACAGCAACAUUACAUGGUUGAAAUGAAACCCCCGUAAUGUUAUCUAUUUUUAUUCAUACGGAGUGAUGAUUCGCCCCUCAUUGGUCUCUGUGUGUGAACGCACAGUGGCGGCGCAUGGAGGGGUUUUGUUACCAUUCUCUGUGAUAAAUCAGGGACAAGUGGGAAUUAUGGGGUCAUCAGAAAUAUAAAGUGGCAGUGUAUGGGUUGAUGUGUAGCACACGUGUUUCAGCACAAGGCUCACAUGUUUUCAUUUUAUUCUGCUACAGCCACAGCCAGCCGGAUGAAUUCAUACAUCCUAAUCUCUGCUGAAAGUGAGCGGCAGAGCGAGGACGGGGCUGAUACUGACCAACAAGGAGGGAGGAGAUUAGCUCCAGAGCUUUUUGCUGCUGUCUGCUAUUUUAGGGGGAAACUAAUGGAAACUGAAAAGGGAAACAAUGAGUGCAGAUCUCCAGUAAAAGCAGCCGAAGCGGAAACAGGGAGGAAAGUCGCUCUUUCAAUACCUCUCCAGGUGAAAAUGUAAGAUAAUGGUUGUCGUCGGAUUCGCCACUUUUCUUCUCUAUAAUUUAGCUGUAUUCAUUAUUAGCAUUAAGCUGAAGCAGGCCUGAUUUUUCCAUGAAAGUGCCCUUUUCUGUUGUCGCUGAUGUAUUAAGAAAUCUGGGCUUACAGAGAGUAACAAUCAGCCGGUUUCUGCGGUUAAAGCACGGUGACACCUUUUUACAUGGCAGCUGUGAAGAGGCCGCAGUCGUUCAGCUUUUCAUGCUCGCUGUGCUGGAAAAUGAUGAAGAAAUAAUGACUCAUGGAAAACUAUUUUAAUAGCAAUCAUUUUUUUGUUCUUAAAAGCCUCGCUUCAACAGUUACUCCAGAAUAGCCAUGGUUCCUCCUCUCUCUUUCUGUCCAAAAAGCACUUUCGGUGGUCAAUCAUUCUGAAGCUCUUCAGACAUUCACAGGUUACAAAGCUCUUAACAAAAGCCUGGACAGUAUUAGGAGUCCGAGAAACGCCAACAAGUCCCUGACUCGUUUUCUUUUCUUACCUCUAAGAGACACAAGAAGGAGACGCUACAGCUUUACUACCCAGUGGAUGGUAAUAUUUCUAUCACUAUAUUGUGCAGUUACAGCCUCUAAGACUGCUGAAUUUCUGCAGAUCACUGUAAGACAACUGCUGUGGAGUGUGGUUUCUGUGUUUUGAGGACACAAGUAAUCAAAUAUGGUGGAUUGGAGCAGGUAAACAUACGGGGAAAUGCCCAUGAGAGUCCAGACUACAAUGCACAAAUAGCACAAAUAAAUAGAGACACACAGAGGGGGUAAGUGAACAAGCAUGAUGCAGACUUCACCUGGUGUUUAAAACAGAAGCAGGAGAAGCAUAAAUGGAGAGAGUUUGCAUCACAGCCAAGUUUCCCGUUAACUUCUUUCAAUGCUGCUCAAUUAUAAUGCCUGAAACAACCAAGCUCUUUAACUCGCAGCGUCUCCUGCAAAGAUCUUCUCUUAAAUCACAACACUUACAGCUUCUCCUGCAAAGAUUUCCCCACAAACAGCUACAUUUCCCGUAAUCCUGCAAAUAUGCUCAAUUUUCAUGCCUGAAAGGACCAAGCUCUUUGACUCUCACCGCCUCCUGCAAAGAUUUCCCCUAAAACAGCUAUAUUUCUAGCUUCUUCUGCAAAUGUAUCUUAGGGCAACAUUUUCAGUUUCUCCUGCAAAGAUCUCUCAAAUAUCAGUAUUUCUAGCUUCUAGGUCUCCUGUCAGACAGCAAUAGUUACAGUUUCUUCUGUAGAUUUCUUAUUAAAUGGCCUUAAUUCCGUUUUUUUAGUAUUUUGUUUACCCUCCUUUGAUCAGUCUUGACUGGUUCAAUGAGGUGAUGGUGGAGAUUAUCUUACAGCUAUAAGCAGCUCUCACCUUCACAGUUAAAGCCAUAAAAUAUUCCUCAUUGGUGAGUCUUUUUUUUUUUCUUGACAACUGUUUUCAUACCACUCUUAUAUUACGGUUUAAACUGAACAUUUUAUCACCUGGCUCUACAGGGAUUGACUCACGACUGGAGCCAGCCUCAAGUGGACAGUUGAAGAACUGCAGUUUUUGGCACUCCUGCUCUGGCUUCAUCUCUCGGGACUGGAGAUUACCCCUUACUCUUUACAAGCGAGACUGCUGUUCAAUUUAUUUCCCCGAAGAACACCAUUAACCUCCAGUCCAAUCAGGGUGAAAAGGAGACCGUAAAUCCAAAUCACUGGUCCACUCUCCUGCCUCGGGUCUCUUGUCAUUUUCACCUCUGCCGGCCUCCCCUCAGCCCCUUCAUAUCGUCACCUCUGCUGCAGCUGAUUCUGCAGAACCGGGGAAUGAGAUAGAGUGUGAGGGCGGUCUUAAUGCUUGUGUGUAUCUAUGUGUGCAUGACUGUUAUCUAGAGUGUGUGUGUGUGUUCCAGCAGAUGCUACAAACUUAGAUGUCUGUAAUCAGUCAAUAUAUCCAUAAGAUUGAUACUCUGUCUUUGACAUUUAAAGGCUGCUGUCCUCUCUGAUGACUGAUAAUCCAUGAGGUAGUCAAUGACUCAUCCCAGGAUGGGUAAACCCUGCAUGAAUGGGUGACAUCUCUGUGCUCCCUCAGGGGUCCUGAUUCACACCACGUUCUGCUUUAGUUGACGUCACUCAGACAUUUUUACGGUGCACGGUUCAUGUGAGGAGUCCCUCUGGGGAAAUAUCUACUCUAGCAUAUGUUGGCCAAUGAGGAUCAGGUCAGCAGCGAGAGCCGGGAUGGUUAAGAGUGAUCUUUCUGUCAGUUUAAUGUGUAUUUUAAACAGUAGGCACUUAACUGCACGUAUCCCUCACAUUUAAUUUUAUUCCAUCCUGUAGAAGUGCUAAUUUCAACCAUUAAUUCAACUCACACUGUUCCCACAAUCCCUCCAUUUUCUCAUCUCCUCACACACCUUCCUGCUCUCGCCCCUGGUGGCGGAUGGAGAAGCGGUCGGGGGCUUUGCCUCAGUAAUUGAAGAAACCUUCAGAAACAUGCAGAUGAAGCCGGGUGAGCUGGAGAGGACUGAAAGUAGAAAAGGAAAAAGGGACCAGAUUCCCAAUUAUCCAUUCCUCCUCCUCCUCUUCUUCUUCUUCUUUUCGCUCUUUUUUUCGCUCUGGCAGGGUUAGCGUCGUUCAUUGGAGGCUCCUUCUUCGCCUCUUGCUGGACUCGGCAUAAUUAGGCGCAGUGUACGGGGCUGAACCGGGAUUGAUGAUCACAUAAAGGGCUGAGUGAGGAGCAGGUUCAGAGGGAAGCAGGGGCUUUGAUGAGAGGGUUAACGGCACUGUCAGCACUUUCACACUUAACACAUGUAACAAUGAAACACCCCGUCAGCUGACACACACACACACUCAAACAGGAGCUACUGUACAUCAAACCUUUAUCCACAGACCAAAACAAAACAUGUAACCUACAUUCAAUGUCAAAAUGUCGUCUUAGAUACGAGGAGAUCCUCCUCUAUGCCUCUUAUGUAACAGACUGCUGCAGGCCGAAGCUUUGAAAGAAACCGGAUUAUUGAAACUCAAAGAAUGAAAUGAAGAAAAUUAUCAUUACCAACAUUUUUUCCAUGACAACAACGAGAAGAUAACGAGCUAAAAUACAUAAAUGAUGACAAAAACUCACACAAAUAUAGUUUUUGUUUUCAUUUGUGAGAUAAUUAUGACAAGAAAACAUUGAAGGGGAACGCCUGGACAUUCAGAGUCCAUCAGAUAACAAAGAAGCAAUCACCUCUCAGUUUGAGUUUUGCCACUCUGCAGCCAGACCUCAAUUUACCCGAGAAAUACACUAAAGAGCCGACUCAGAGAUGUUUUGUUCGUUUAAUCAACACUGGAUGAUCGAAAUUGAAGAUGCAGCUGGGCCCAUUAAAAACACAAUAAAGCAUUUUUAUCAAAACCCAAAAACCAAUCAUCUUUGAGCUAAUCGAGUCAGCUGUUGGGUAGUACUGGUGCACACAAGUGUAUAAACUAUCUAAUAAAGUUAUCAAGCAGCAAACAGGUAUAAAAGCACAUAAAUGAGAAUUUUAGCGGUCAGAUGGUCAUGUUGCUAUUAAAUUUCACAACUCAGUACAUCAAACAAGACAAAAGCAGAACCUUGAAGCAUCUCUGUGACUCCAGCUGC
rnacentral:lncRNA from 1 species